GACGAACGCUGGCGGCGUGCUUAACACAUGCAAGUCGAACGGUGAAGCGCCUUCCUUUUUGGUGGGUGUGGAUGAGUGGCGAACGGGUGAGUAACACGUGAGUAACCUGCCCCCUUCUUCUGGAUAACCGCAUGAAAGUGUGGCUAAUACGGGAUAUUCUGGGUCUGUCGCAUGAUGGGUCUGGGAAAGAUAUUGUUUCGGUGGGGGAUGGGCUCGCGGCCUAUCAGCUUGUUGGUGGGGUGAUGGCCUACCAAGGCGGUGACGGGUAGCCGGCCUGAGAGGGUGGACGGUCACACUGGGACUGAGACACGGCCCAGACUCCUACGGGAGGCAGCAGUGGGGAAUAUUGCACAAUGGGCGCAAGCCUGAUGCAGCGACGCCACGUGAGGGAUGGAGGCCUUCGGGUUGUGAACCUCUUUCGCCAGUGAAGCAGGCCUGCCUCGUUUGUGGGUGGGUUGACAGUAGCUGGAGAAGAAGCGCCGGCUAACUACGUG
rnacentral:rRNA from 1 species